rnacentral:rRNA from 1 species
GCGACGCCGCGUGAGUGAGGAAGUAUUUCGGUAUGUAAAGCUCUAUCAGCAGGGAAGAAAGAAAUGACGGUACCUGAGUAAGAAGCUCCGGCUAAAUACGUGCCAGCAGCCGCGGUAAUACGUAUGGAGCAAGCGUUAUCCGGAUUUACUGGGUGUAAAGGGAGCGUAGGCGGCAGAGCAAGUCUGAUGUGAAAGCCCGGGGCUCAACCCCGGUAGUGCAUUGGAAACUGUUCAGCUUGAGUGUCGGAGGGGUAAGCGGAAUUCCUGGUGUAGCGGUGAAAUGCGUAGAUAUCAGGAAGAACACCGGAGGCGAAGGCGGCUUACUGGACGAUUACUGACGCUGAGGCUCGAAAGCGUGGGGAGCGAACAGGAUUAGAUACCCUGGUAGUCCACGCCUGUAAACGAUGAAUACUAGGUGUCCGUACCCGAAGGGUAUCGGUGCCGUCCCAAACGCAUUAAGUAUUCCACCUGGGGAAUACGUUCGCAAGAAUGAAACUCAAAGGAAUUGACGGGGACCCGCACAAGC